AUCGUAAAUAUUGAACAUGUGUUUAAGAUUUACGAUUUGAAAUUGGUGUGGCAAGGAUGGACUUCCAAGCUGAUCGGGGAAUGUAAAAAACUUAACAUAGCUCACACUACAGGAAUAUCUGAUGAGAUAGACUAAGUCCCUCCAGUUCUGUAGUCGUGAAUCUCUCGGAAAAUCAUUACAAUUCGGGAACUGUAUUCGUAGCUGAAACAACUUUGAUGUCUUUAUAAGUUUUAUGUGUAGUAGAAAAUGCUGUAAAAUGAGCAGGUAUUUCAGACUUCACUGAAAUGUCAUUAGAUAAUAACUCCUAAUGACAGACGCUGUCUUCGCUGUCAGCGUUUUGCAUUUCAUAAUGGAUCUGGAAGGAAAGGUUAAGCGCGUUACCCCUGUCGAUUCUGGAUAGAUGUCUAACCAAAGGUCUUAGCAGGCCCACGGCCAUCACCUUAGCCUUUGUAAUUAUUAGGUCACUACUUGAGAAUCAGCGCACUGAAGUCUAAAUACAGUAGGAACACUAUAACACUUUUAUAGCUGAGUAUAUGGCAUAGUAGAGUCAACAAAAACGGAGAUGACUUGUGCAGUUUUCUACUCAGUUUUUAAAGUGUUAUAGUCUUC